AUGAACGCUAGCUACAGGCUUAACACAUGCAAGUCGAGGGGCAGCAUGGUCUUAGCUUGCUAAGGCCGAUGGCGACCGGCGCACGGGUGAGUAACACGUAUCCAACCUGCCGUCUACUCUUGGACAGCCUUCUGAAAGGAAGAUUAAUACAAGAUGGCAUCAUGAGUCCACAUGUUCACAUGAUUAAAGGUAUUCCGGUAGACGAUGGGGAUGCGUUCCAUUAGAUAGUAGGCGGGGUAACGGCCCACCUAGUCUUCGAUGGAUAGGGGUUCUGAGAGGAAGGUCCCCCACAUUGGAACUGAGACACGGUCCAAACUCCUACGGGAGGCAGCAGUGAGGAAUAUUGGUCAAUGGGCGAGAGCCUGAACCAGCCAAGUAGCGUGAAGGAUGACUGCCCUAUGGGUUGUAAACUUCUUUUAUAAAGGAAUAAAGUCGGGUAUGGAUACCCGUUUGCAUGUACUUUAUGAAUAAGGAUCGGCUAACUCCGUGCCAGCAGCCGCGGUAAUACGGAGGAUCCGAGCGUUAUCCGGAUUUAUUGGGUUUAAAGGGAGCGUAGAUGGAUGUUUAAGUCAGUUGUGAAAGUUUGCGGCUCAACCGUAAAAUUGCAGUUGAUACUGGAUAUCUUGAGUGCAGUUGAGGCAGGCGGAAUUCGUGGUGUAGCGGUGAAAUGCUUAGAUAUCACGAAGAACUCCGAUUGCGAAGGCAGCCUGCUAAGCUGCAACUGACAUUGAGGCUCGAAAGUGUGGGUAUCAAACAGGAUUAGAUACCCUGGUAGUCCACACGGUAAACGAUGAAUACUCGCUGUUUGCGAUAUACAGCAAGCGGCCAAGCGAAAGCGUUAAGUAUUCCACCUGGGGAGUACGCCGGCAACGGUGAAACUCAAAGGAAUUGACGGGGGCCCGCACAAGCGGAGGAACAUGUGGUUUAAUUCGAUGAUACGCGAGGAACCUUACCCGGGCUUGAAAGUUAGCGACGGAUCUGGAAACAGGUCUUCCCUUCGGGGCGCGAAACUAGGUGCUGCAUGGUUGUCGUCAGCUCGUGCCGUGAGGUGUCGGCUUAAGUGCCAUAACGAGCGCAACCCUUGUUGUCAGUUACUAACAGGAUUUGCUGAGGACUCUGACAAGACUGCCAUCGUAAGAUGUGAGGAAGGUGGGGAUGACGUCAAAUCAGCACGGCCCUUACGUCCGGGGCUACACACGUGUUACAAUGGGGGGUACAGAGGGCCGCUACCACGCGAGUGGAUGCCAAUCCCCAAAACCUCUCUCAGUUCGGACUGGAGUCUGCAACCCGACUCCACGAAGCUGGAUUCGCUAGUAAUCGCGCAUCAGCCACGGCGCGGUGAAUACGUUCCCGGGCCUUGUACACACCGCCCGUCAAGCCAUGGGAGCCGGGGGUACCUGAAGUGCGUAACCGCGAGGAGCGCCCUAGGGUAAAACUGGUGACUGGGGCU
rnacentral:rRNA from 1 species